GAUGAACGCUGGCGGCGUGCCUAAUACAUGCCAGUCGAGCGAACAGACGAGGAGCUUGCUCCUCUGACGUUAGCGGCGGACGGGUGAGUAACACGUGGAUAACCUACCUAUAAGACUGGGAUAACUUCGGGAAACCGGAGCUAAUACCGGAUAAUAUAUUGAACCGCAUGGUUCAAUAGUGAAAGACGGUUUUGCUGUCACUUAUAGAUGGAUCCGCGCCGCAUUAGCUAGUUGGUAAGGUAACGGCCUACCAAGGCAACGAUGCGUAGCCGACCUGAGAGGGUGAUCGGCCAAACUGGAACUGAGACACGGUCCAGACUCCUAAGGGAGGCAGCAGUAGGGAAUCUUCCGCAAUGGGCGAAAGCCUGACGGAGCAACGCCGCGUGAGUGAUGAAGGUCUUCGGAUCGUAAAACUCUGUUAUUAGGGAAGAACAAAUGUGUAAGUAACUAUGCACGUCUUGACGGUACCUAAUCAGAAAGCCACGGCUAACUACGUG
rnacentral:rRNA from 1 species